rnacentral:rRNA from 1 species
UUUAAUGAGAGUUUGAUCCUGGCUCAGGACGAACGCUGGCGGCGUGCCUAAUACAUGCAAGUAGAACGCUGAUGUUUGGUGUUUACACUAGACUGAUGAGUUGCGAACGGGUGAGUAACGCGUAGGUAACCUGCCUCAUAGCGGGGGAUAACUAUUGGAAACGAUAGCUAAUACCGCAUAAGAGUAAUUAACACAUGUUAGUUAUUUAAAAGGAGCAAUUGCUUCACUGUGAGAU